rnacentral:rRNA from 1 species
AGAGUUUGAUCAUGGCUCAGAUUGAACGCUGGCGGCAGGCUUAACACAUGCAAGUCGAACGGAAACAGGAAGUAGCUUGCUACUUUGCUGUCGAGUGGCGGACGGGUGAGUAAUGCUUGGGAACAUGCCAAAACGUGGGGGACAACAGUUGGAAACGACUGCUAAUACCGCAUAAUAUCUUCGGAUCAAAGCAGGGGACCUUCGGGCCUUGCGCGUUUUGAGUGGCCCAAGUGGGAUUAGCUAGUUGGUAAGGUAAUGGCUUACCAAGGCGACGAUCCCUAGCUGGUCUUAGAGGAUGACCAGCCACACUGGAACUGAGACACGGUCCAGACUCCUACGGGAGGCAGCAGUGGGGAAUAUUGCACAAUGGAGGAAACUCUGAUGCAGCCAUGCCGCGUGUGUGAAGAAGGCUUUCGGGUUGUAAAGCACUUUCAGUGGGGAGGAAAGGGUGUAUGUUAAUAGCAUGCAUCUGUGACGUUACCCACAGAAGAAGCACCGGCUAACUCCGUGCCAGCAGCCGCGGUAAUACGGAGGGUGCGAGCGUUAAUCGGAAUUACUGGGCGUAAAGCGCGCGUAGGAAAGCUAACGCAUUAAAUAGACCGCCUGGGGAGUACGGCCGCAAGGUUAAAACUCAAAUGAAUUGACGGGGGCCCGCACAAGCGGUGGAGCAUGUGGUUUAAUUCGAUGCAACGCGAAGAACCUUACCAUCCCUUGACAUCCAGAGAAUCACCUAGAGAUAGAUGAGUGCCUUCGGGAACUCUGAGACAGGUGCUGCAUGGCUGUCGUCAGCUCGUGUUGUGAAAUGUUGGGUUAAGUCCCGCAACGAGCGCAACCCUUAUCCUUACUUGCCAGCGGGUUAUGCCGGGAACUUUAGGGAGACUGCCGGUGAUAAACCGGAGGAAGGUGGGGACGACGUCAAGUCAUCAUGGCCCUUACGGGAUGGGCUACACACGUGCUACAAUGGCAGAUACAAAGGGUUGCUAACCUGCGAGGGUAUGCGAAUCUCAUAAAGUCUGUCGUAGUCCGGAUCGGAGUCUGCAACUCGACUCCGUGAAGUUGGAAUCGCUAGUAAUCGUGGAUCAGAAUGCCACGGUGAAUACGUUCCCGGGCCUUGUACACACCGCCCGUCACACCAUGGGAGUGGGCUGCACCAGAAGUCAUUAGCUUAACCUUUCGGGAUGGCGAUGACCACGGUGUGGUUCAUGACUGGGGUGAAGUCGUAACAAGGUAGCC